ACGGCUCAGUAACACGUGGACAACCUACCCUCAGAACGGGGAUAAACCCGGGAAACUGGGUAUAAUACCCGAUAGUUCUGGGACGCUGGAAUGCGCCCAGGACGAAAGCUCCGGCGACUGAGGAUGGGUCUGCGGCCUAUCAGGUAGUAGUGGGUGUAAUGUACCUACUAGCCUACGACGGGUACGGGUUGUGAGAGCAAGAGCCCGGAGAUGGAUUCUGAGACACGAAUCCAGGCCCUACGGGGUGCAGCAGGCGCGAAAACUUUACAAUGCUGGCAACAGCGAUAAGGGGACCUCGAGUGCCAGGAUACAAUCUUGGCUGUCGCGAUGCCUAAAAAGCAUUGCAUAGCAAGGGCCGGGCAAGACCGGUGCCAGCCGCCGCGGUAACACCGGCGGCUCGAGUGGUAACCGCUAUUAUUGGGUCUAAAGGGUCUGUAGCCGGCCGGAUAAGUCUCUUGGGAAAUCCAGCAGCUCAACUGUUGGGCUUUCAGGAGAUACUGUUCGGCUCGAGGCCGGGAGAGGUGAGAGGUACUUCAGGGGUAGGGGUGGAAUCUUGUAAUCCUUGAAGGACCACCAGUGGCGAAGGCGUCUCACCAGAACGGACCUGACGGCAAGGGACGAAAGCUAGGGGCACGAACCGGAUUAGAUACCCGGGUAGUCCUAGCCGUAAACGAUACUCGCUAGGUGUCAGCCACGGUGCGACCGUGGUUGGUGCCGUAGGGAAGCCGUGAAGCGAGCCACCUGGGAAGUACGGCCGCAAGGCUGAAACUUAAAGGAAUUGGCGGGGGAGCAC
rnacentral:rRNA from 1 species